UGCCUUUUGUAUCAAUGUUAUUGAAAAGAAAAACCUUAAUUUAAAUACAAGACCAUUCAGUUUGGUUCCAAGUCUAACUGGGCUGGAAUCUGGCAAGCUCACCCAGUCUGUAGCCAGCAGGCCACAGUUCACCACAUGAUAGCUAUGAAUAGGGCAUAACACACACCUGUAAACUUAAAAUAUGAUAGGAUGUUUACAGCUAUUUGUAAUUCAGUUCUGUGGCACUUGAACAUGAACCCUGUAGCUGAAAAUGUUAUGUUGCUGUGCCAAAAGGCUAGACACAUCUGCUAGAGGAAAGAAUUCUAUUUUAAACUCCAAUCCUCCUCCUCUUCCUCCUCCGCAGGACAAGUGUUGGGAUCAUAGUGUGUGCUGCCGGUGCAGGCAAAACCAAAACCAAACCAAAACAGAACCCUCCAGUUCUUCUUAAAGCCUCAUAUAGCCCAAGUCGACCCAGUCUCACCAGGACGGGUGUGAACAUGACUUCUGUCUUUUCAGCCUUCACCUACAUGCUUAGAAUUCAGGGCUGCCCUCGGUUCUUAGUUGCAGAAGUAGCAUCAUUUGGCAAGAGCGGACUCAGUUAAAAAGACAAAGACAGCUCUGGAAGUCUGGGAAUGACGGGGGAGGUGAGGAGAGAGGCACGGGACUUGCUGAUGUUAAUGGUGAUGAUGCCACACUGACUUCUCAGUAUUUUUGUUUAAUCACAUAGAUGUGCUGCCCACGGCCUUGGUCAAAGAAGCAGAGGUUAAUGCAGAGACUCAUGUCUGGUACCAUUCCUUCUCUGCUCGGGUUGAGAGAGAAACCGAGGCUGGAACAUGGGCUGGGGGUGAUGGAGACAGCAGGCCGUGAGUGAGAUAGACCAGAAACAGACUUAAUGGGAGGGAGAAAGCUUCACUGAGCAGCUGGUUUAAUUGGGAGGAACAAGGACUAUUUAAACCUUUGGAGGGUGAGUGGGCGCUAUCAAAGUGAGUGUACACCUUUGCUGGGGAUGCCUCAUUUGCAUAAGAAGGAAUUCCAGGGGCUUGCUGGACUUGACCUUACUAGGUGAGGGGAAGUCUAACUGGCUACUGGGCUAUAUGAUCUCCUCAGGUGGGACAAAGGUCUGUGUACACUGGGAGAUGUAGGCUUGGGGUUAGGGGAGUGUGGGUGUGGCAAUUCUACUCCUGCUGCUUCAUGACCAGAUAUCUGGGGUUUGGACACACCCCGACCACACUCUUCUCCAGGCUUACUCCCCACGGCUCCUCCAGCCCCACAACAUUGCUGAGAAUAAGUGACUGAUCACCUCUGUAGCAAGUCUUCUCCUGAAAGGCUCAGGGAACAUCUUGGAACAGGAGGGAGAAAGUCCGUAGGAGCCGAAGGACUGGGGAGUGCUGUGAAAUGCGGUCUGCUGUAUCUGACACGGCCAUUACCCUCAUGAACUCACAGCAACUCCGGUUGUCUGCUCAAGACCUACACAAGAUCAAGCCAAUGGAAAUUCCAUGGAUGGGAGAGGGACUUGCAAGGCUCUGCUCCUUAGAUGAGAGGAAGCCUCCCAAGGAGCCUCCUGAGAGCAGAUGUAUGCCACCCGUGUUGGAGGAAAACUUACUUCCUUUAUGGAACCAGACUUGUGUUCCUCAUAGUUUGGAUGUGAAGCCUGCCACCCUCAGCCCAUGCUUGUAUGCGGAUGCCUUGGUUCCAGCCAGUAGUGCUUUUGAGAGAUGCUUUUGAGAGGUGUUAACCUCAAUGGAUCAGUUCAUUGAUUCCCUUCCAGGAUGGUCUGCCAUGACUAGCACAGCUCCAGUGAUGGACCUGCCUAGACUGACGAGGUGGCUAAGAAAGGAGCUGCACACAAAGAAGAAUGGGGACUGGCUGGCCUGGGCCCUCUGAUGGAGAACCCUCUGUAUCGAGAACCACAGCGUAUUUAUUAUAUACAGCUGAACAGGGGGCUUGGGUUAGCGCAUACGGCUGAAAAUGGAGGCAUUUCUAGCAGCUCUGGGCGGGGACAGUCUCUGUAGCGGAGCAGUCUUUGGGCCAUAAACAUCCAGGGAGAGGAAGCUACAAUGGGGAUGUUCCGUGUGUACUAUCGACAUCUGUACACGGACCAAAGGAAAGCUUUGCUGUUCCUCCAAGCCUCAUCAAGUGUGUGUGUGUGUGUGUGUGUGUGUGUGUGUGUGUGUGUGUGUGUCAAGGUGUGGAGGGGGUGGAGCUUUCUGUCUUCCCAUGGGUCUGAGGCUAUGGUCCUUCACAUGGCUGGCUCCUGUCAACAAUACACAUUCACUUAGGACUUAACACACUCACCCCAGUUAUGAGCCCGAGAGAUGGCUCAGUCUUUAGAAGCACUGGCCACUUUUCUAGAGGACCACAUGGUGGUACCCACAGCUCUGUUUCCAGGGGACCUGAUGCCCUCUUCUCUCCUCCCAUGGGCAUUAGGCACACACGUGGCGUACUGACAGACAUGCAGGCAAAACUCUCACGCACAUUUUUAAAAUGCCCCCCAGAUAGCUGUUUUGUGGGCCCUUUCGCCAGUCCUGCUGCAGGGUAAGGAUCCCUGUGCCUUACUGCCUGUUCUUACUAAGUCACUGUGCUGUUAAUCAGGGUUUGAGUGCACUCAGGAAGCUUGCACAACUCUCUCCCACAAAUGGAGCUGUGUGUCUUAGUCUUGCCCAUGGGGAGGACUGAAUUGUGAUUGCAUAAGGACAGGCAAUGUUUUCCACUGGUUCAAAGCUAUGCAUUUUAAAUCUGUAC